rnacentral:tRNA from 2 species
UUUAAAGUUUAAAAUUUUAGUUUAUUAAACUAAUUUUUAUUUGAAAAAUGCUUUAGUG